AGGAGGAGGGGGGUUCUCUCACACGCUCUAUUUACCGGACCAUUGGGAUGUGACGGGAACGUGACAGCCCCCACCACCACCCUACCAUCCUGCUCUCACUUACCAGCCUUCUCAUGGAGGAACGACAAUUAGGCCUGAACGAGACGGGCAUUUCCUGGAACAGAUGCUGGCGUUCCCCGUGAAAAGCGACCCCCGUCCUGCAUCUGAGGUUAAGACGGGAACUGAACGAACAGUGGAAACAAUGGAGGCUGCAGAGGGAUUGACUGAAUAUUUCCAAGUUCUCCAACAGUUGACAAGCUUAUCUGCGUUGGAGCAACAUUAAUGAUUCAUUUAUUUAUUUUUCUAAAUUGUCUAAAUAGGAGCAAUGGGAGUGCUCCUUAAGAUUUCAUAUAUUUAUUGUUUCUCAUGAAGAUUUGCUUCCACACAGCCCAAUUUGUAUUCAACAUAAGCAAGAGAUUCUGUAGAAGUCCUUUUUAGGCCGGCUGACUAGCAGAGCCAAGCCAUUGAUGGUGAUUUUAAUUUACUUAUUCUGUUUCUAGGGCAAAUAAUACAGAGCUAACUAUACCAGAUGCAGCCAGUUUUCACUGGACAUUGAUAAUAUGAUUGGAAAAGCUUACUGUCUAUUUUUGCAAGCAGUAAUUUUCAAGUAUUUUUACGAUGACUUAAAAAAACAGAAGAGACAUUAUGUUAAUAAGGUGCUCUGUGAAUAUUUCUUUAUUACCACCAUGCAUAUGAUCACAUUGCAACAUUUUUUUUUUUUCUUUCAAGUCAGUUUGAAAGAGAAGGUUCAUGAUGAUUUGAGUAAUGAGGAGAGUGUCUGGGGGGGAACAUAAAACUGGUUUGAUGCUUAUAAACAGCAUACAGCGGAAACAUCCUGGAAAAAUCUGCAAACGUUGUUCAAAAGGUUGAGUUCUGUUUUAUGUUAGGAGUAAUGUCAGUGAGUGUUAGGAAGCUGGGUCACAGCCUCCAUAUGCUGUUCAACACCUGUGUGUUUUUUUGCAAAACAAAAACUGCAUUCAUAAGUUUGAUUUAUAUGUAAAAGGAAACAUUUAUAAUCAAGGAGAAUAAAAACAAAACUAAUUUAAAAUAGUACAAGAAUAAUACAAAUUGAUCAAAAUUUAUCAAAGCACAUGGCUGUCAUUAGAGCAAUGCAAAAGUGAAAAUAGUAAUAGUGCAGAGAAUCAACAGCCUGCUCACUAGUACCCAGUUUUAUCCAACAUACAGCAGAUCAAGGCCCUUGAACUAAAGCAGUAUUGACAGUGACCCCACCAAGACCCGUCAACUGAAACGGCUCUAACAAGGUAUUAGCAGGCAACUCCAGCUCUCAGUCUGGGUCUAAAGAAACACAGCUGCUCACAGAGUUUUUCAGGGUGGAGGGCAAACUCACGCACAACAGGGUGCCCCCAGCUAAGCUAUAGGAGUGAAACAGGGUCAUGAAUUCCAAGAAAAGAAGAGGAGCAUUUUAGUACCACUUUGUUUCACCGGCAUAAUUAAUAGCGGUUUACUGCAGGUUAGGUCAGAAAUAUACAUUCUAACAGUUGUUUUUCGAAAUGUUCGAUAAAAAUUAUAAAAGUAAUCUUUGGAAUUGAUAUAGUGGGGAAUAAAUAUAAUAAGUUAAAAUGUAUUUCCAGAUUUUGAAGACUUAACUGUCAACAUUAUAAAGUAAUUUAUGUUAUUACAUUUGAAUUGAUUAAAAAAAGGAAACUGAUAAAAUAACGUUAUGGAGAUAACUUUUAUCUGCUGGUUAUCGUUCCUGUUCUCACAAAUCUGAAAAGUGCAGAAAUAUUUACAUUUCAGCUAAAAUUCUAAAAAAAAAAAAAAAAAAAA